rnacentral:rRNA from 1 species
UACGAAGGGGGCUAGCGUUGCUCGGAAUCACUGGGCGUAAAGGGCGCGUAGGCGGGUCUUUAAGUCAGGGGUGAAAUCCUGGAGCUCAACUCCAGAACUGCCUUUGAUACUGAGGAUCUUGAGUACGGGAGAGGUGAGUGGAACUGCGAGUGUAGAGGUGAAAUUCGUAGAUAUUCGCAAGAACACCAGUGGCGAAGGCGGCUCACUGGCCCGGUACUGACGCUGAGGUGCGAAAGCGUGGGGAGCAAACAGG